AAUCGAUUCCGAAAGAGAUCUGAUUCUAAUCUCAGCGUGGAAAGUAUUCCCCGAUGGAAACUGAAAUAUCUAGCCCACGAUUCCUUCCUCUCCAUUAUCUCUCUCUCUCUCGCCCCAUGCCAUCGUUCCUUCCUCUCCCCCACCCCAUGGAACAAUUUCACGUCCUUUCCUCUCUCCAAUCUUUUUCCCGCAUAAAAACCAAAGCCAUUAUCUCUCUCAAACUAAAGAAAAGCAAGCAGGUCCGUGGAUCUAAGAGGAAAAGGAAGGGAAGCCAUGGAUCUGGCGUGGUCUAGAGGCUUACUGCCUCAAUUUUGUUUUCCUGGUCUAGAUCAGGAUUCCCUCGGGAGGCACAAGGCGUCCAACGCUCUAGCCCCGGGUUUGCCCGGCCACAUCUCUCACGGGGAGCAUGGGCAUCCAUUACACAAGAGAUGCUGGAGAAGCGGGAGUAACCCCAUCGCCUGCAGCUCAAUAAUUGUGGCAUCCAGGUAGUUACUUCAAUCGCAGACAACAUGCUCAAAUCCAUGCCAUGGCAUAUACAUCACGUCAUCGAUGCAUGCAUAAAUGUGUACAUUGGUGAAACCUGAUCAGCGAGCUAGGGCGUUCAACAGGAAAGUUAAUAUCAACUUCCGGAUGUAGCCGCCGCCUAACCACCACCGAGAAGAUGCUGUGUGCUGCGCCCAGUCAAUCCCACCGCACUUCCAUUGCAGAUGCCCAGCCGGCGAUCUUCCAUGGAUGAGGCGCCACACAUGAUUGAGGAUGACAUUGAGUACCGGUGCACCGCCGUCCGCGCUCGCCCAUUAUCGCCGGAGCCCACGCAUGACAUGCUCGCCUGUGGCCACCGUUUCCAUCCGUAUGAGAGUUUUCCACAUCAUUACCCCGGCUGGCAGGUAGGCCAUUCCAUCCGCUGCUGCUGUUCCUUUUGAGGUCUGUUUUCCAUUUGAUUUCCACUUGGGAAAGGUGGAAAAAUACCUUUUAGCUGAAAGCAGUUUCAUCCUAUAGUUUGUACUAUUUCUGGAUUUCUUUAAAUUGCUGUUGUUUUGUGAGCUUUAAACCUGAUCUACUUUUGAUUUUAAAGCAGGUGCUGCUUUGUGGAGUUUUUACUCAACAUAAUUUUGAUCGUCCAUGCUAUUCGCCUAUAUUUGAAAAUUAAAUUUGUCUUAGUCUACAAUGGUUGGGAGUGAAGGCUACAGCAUUUUUAUGUAUUAUUUGGUUCAAUUUCUAUUCCACAAAAACACCUCGGUCCCUUUGUUUGCUGUGACUACUCAACAGUCGACACUGUACUUCUCUUUUUCCUAUUUAAGAUUAGUUUAUUUAUGUCGUUCCUUAAUAUUCCUCUGGUAGAAUAGCAGGUUAGUUUCUCGCAUAAAAAUAAUAAACUAUAAAAACUCCGGCACUCCAGCACUUGCUAAACUGGUACGUGCAAAAAUGUACCAUGUGUGGAGAAAAGACACAUUGAUGCUCAAGUCCAUGACAAAAUACAUAUGGCAGAUCGACGCAUACCCAUGAGCUAUUGUACACCGCAAGGCUGUGGCUACGUCCAGUUUAUCCAAAUAUGAUUCGCCUGCUACUAUACAUAUGUUAUCUUAGCCAAUUUGGUCCAAAUUCGUGCUAAAGCAGCCAAAACGGUCUGAUUUUUGCCACGCUUAUCUGCCACUCUGGAGGGCAACCAACAUAAAAUAGAUAACACACAGAUUUUGAGAUACGAGAUUACAUUUUUAUGGCGUCACCAAUGAUUCCAGCGCACAGCUUUUCCAGGGCAGAAGUGGGAUUCUGAUGAUUUCUUAGGUCACUAUUACUGCAUAUGUAAUGUUUUUAAUUAAAUUUUUAUAAUGGUCGAGACGCGGGUUGGCAGUGCAAUGCAAGAACUGUUAGCAGCACAACCGAAAACAGACCAGGGACACACGGCAUGGUAUAUGAAAUUAAAAAGUGAUCCAGAUUACACAAGUUAAUCCGGUGAAGUAUUCUUGGUCACUUGGAGCAUAUUUAAUUUGGGUGGCGCUAUGACUAUCAGAUGUUCUUAUAAAUCAAUGAGGAUGUACCACAUAUAACGAAAACGAAGGAGUCUCUCAAUGUUGGCAACAACAUCCCUUGCAUGUUAGUGAGUUAGGGAUUCAUCUUCCCAUUUGUUCCUUUUCCUAACUAUACUUUUAAGUUUCAUAGUAUUACGUUGUGCAAGAAUUGACACUAUAGCCUUUAUUGUUGUUGCCCUGUAGGUUAUAUAACCAAAUUGAACCUUGAUUUGUUUUGUUCCUUUUCCCUGUUUUCAAACUUCUGUAAUUCUUUGUGUGUGGAAAUUAGUGGGGUAGCAAUAGCAUGUGACACUACUGGAAAUUGUUGGGUAAACAAAGAAGGUGAAUCCAGUACGUGAACUGAUUGUUGCUUUCAUUUGAUAUGCUACCAACUUUAUCAAGAAGUUACUAAAUUUCGACAGAAAUAUUUUAUUUUCACCGUUUGAUAGUUUUUAUUUGCAAUUGUAAUGAGAUUACAAAACCCUUAUUUUUACCAUAUCUUUCUUACUGGGUUACAUAACAGCUGUCUCUAUUAAGAAUCUCAUAGUUUACAUGGUUCUGCAUCUCCAGUAUACAAUAUACCUCCAUAGACAUAGACUAACUUUCUUGCAUGAAUAUAACUUAGUUUGUGGUAACUUAAUUAAGUUAUACCUCUCACAAGAAAUAUCUGAUGAAAAAUAGUGUGGCGCGCAUUGUAAGAGUGCAAGUAACAGAAAUCUAAUACAAGUCUGAAAAAGUUAUUUAUUUAUUAUCACUUAAAUAAAAUAAUGUCAUACAACAUGUUUUAAUGUAAUAAUUUGGCUUAUAACCCAUGGAACAAGUUUGUAAAUGCAUAAGCACCAAUUGAAACACUAUGACGUUUUACAAACUAGCAUUUUUCGAAACAUGCAUUGACCAUUAUUUUGUAAAUUUGAUUAUUAAUGAAACUAUUUUUAUUGAAAAUUCAUAUGGUAGGUAAAAUUUAAGCAAUGCAUGUGCAAAUUUGAUGCAUGAAGUUUUGUACAUAGCUGAAAUAUGAACAACAAAUAUACAAUUUUUCAUGGCAAUAUAGAAACUUACCCAUAGACAAUCAAAUGUUGAACUAAUUCAAUGGAAAUAAUCAAUGUAUUUUAUAAUAUUUAUGUCAAUUAGGCAUUAAAUACACUAGCCCGUGCAAAUGCAUGGGUUGACGACUAGUGAUCCUAGCUAUGCACAUGAAUAAAAAAACCGAAGCACGGUGGUUCGGUUAUGGGUCGGCAGAAAAUUUGCAGGGAUAAGAUCGAUGCCGACAACAGAUUGAUGAGGCACUAUUUUGUGGAUAAUCCAGUGUACCCUGAGUCGUACUUCCGGCGCCGGUUUAGGAUGAGCACCGAGUUGUUC